GCUGCAACACAGAAAACAAAAUAAAUAAUCACAGAGAGCAGUUUUUUUAUGUGUGCUUUGAUCGAUCAGAGAUCAGAGGCUUGUGUUUUUAUUAGAAAAGCUACUAAUAAUAAGGUUAUGAAACUUGAAAAUGGAAAAUUGAAUAAAAUAAAAGAAAAUAAGGUAUUAAAUCAUUAAAAAUUAAAUUUUGGACUCGACCCUCAAUCGGGAAAGCAACAAAUUGAUGAGAAACCUAAACCUAUAUUCACAUGAGCUUAAAACAACAGCAGGAUCAUGUAAUAAGUAUCUUAUUUAACCGUUUGGAAGCCAAAAUUUCGUAUAUAAAAUUCAACAAUCUGUGAUUUUCAAUUUUCAUAUUUCCUCAACAACCUAACAAAAUGCAGGUAAAAUAUCAAAAACAUGUGGAAAACUUAAAAAAACUUAUGAUCAAAAGAUUCAAACAACAAAACACGAGAUGCAUCAUGCCUCAAUAAAAAAUUUAAAAAAAUCACGAAAUUAGAAAAAUCAAAACCGAGACAAUUUAAACAGAACGAAACGUUAUGAUUAAAUCAGAAUUAUGAGCAGGAAUUAGUUGUGAAAAAGUAGGAGAUAAAAUAAUUACCUGGUAUGGAUCCAUGGUAGGAUGAAGUUCAGAGAGAUUGAUUUGUUGAUGAGAAAGAUAAUAUUGAUUUGUGGCUAAUUUACAGUCCUUUCUUCUUCUUAUUUAUAAUUGAUUUUGUUUCGUCAUAGGAAUAAAAUAACAAAUUGAGUACUUUAACUUUGAUUUUAUCUUGGAUUUGUAUUAUCUAGGGUAAAUCUUUUUGAGUGAAGAGAUAAUUGUUUACCCAAUCAAAAUCUCGCCAUACGAUAUUUUAACUCAUCAGUAUACUUUAUUUCCCAUCUUGUUUUUUUAAGGAAUUUGUAAAUUGGCAUACCAACCAACUCUAAUACGACAACGUUCUUAAAAAUAAAAAAUAAAAAAAUAUAAAUAUAGAGUAAUAUCAUUUCAAAACCGUUAAUGGUUAUUUUUCAAGAAAUUUUUGGCCUAACCAAUUUAUUCCCCAACAAUACAAAUAUAUGAAAUUAAAAAAUACGCAUGUCUAAUUUUUAUGUAAAAAUGAUUAGUAUAAAAUUAACUUUGAUCAAUUGUUUAAUACAAUAUCAACACGUAAAAUGAGAGGUAAUCUAUGUGAGUGUCGACGUGUACGCAAGUGAUGGAUAUAGUCCACAUUGGACUGCUAAAUUAUGUUAAUGUUCAAAUUGUGGAGGCAUAUUCGUAUAAUGGUAGUUAUAAAUCACAUUUAACACGUUAAAAAAAAGGGAGAGACAAAAUAAGGAUCUCAAUUGUUGAUCUAUUGAUAAACAAAAAUUACUGAGAGUAAAGGUAAAAUAGCAAUAGAGUAUUUUUUAUUUUAUUUUUUGACAAAUAUUUAGGAAAUUAAUUGUGGGAUAAAUGGAAAGAAAUCGUCAUUAAACUACGCCAAAUUCCACAUCCACUUAUUUAACUUGUACGUACUAGGGCCUCUAUAAAACGGAGGACUCGUAUGCAAUUAAAUAAAUAAAAAUGCACACAUUAAUGUACAUAUAUUAUUAUUAAGUCCAGAACAGCAUCAAAGUGUAGAAGUCACAUGAAAGAAGACAGAUAUAAAUACAAGUUUGGUAAUAAAAAUCACUCAAAACAACUUAACAAACACAGAUAAACCGUACUACUUAUUCAACUUCAGAACAGCACCAAGUUUUGCCAAGUACGUACAAGUAUAUAUAACAUGACGACAGUGCCAUCCAUAUAUAUAUAUAUAUAUAUACUUCCCAACUACUCUUUGAUCUGGUUUUUAGCACAGAGUACGUAUCUCUCGACAUGCAGCAUCACGUUCAAAUGCUGGGCUUCACGUUGAGGCGAGACGCUAUUUUCUGACCUAGAGACUUGUCAGCCUACAUGGACCACAACAUUACCAUCAUACUAGUAUUAGAUUAUUUUCAUUAAUACUACCUACUCUUCACCUAAUUGUUCCCGCUAAUAAAAUCUUUUACUAUUAUAAUUCAUUCCUAGUUGAAAAGGGUUGGAAUCAGAUUUACCUGACUCCAGUAUGACACCCAUAUGCUGCGGAUCUCAUAGGUAAUACGCGGAUCCGAUAAACCAGUAACCACCCGAUUGAUAAAUCGCUCUUGCCUGGAACAAAUAAUUAACAAAACCAAUAAAGCCUAAGUAGUUAUUUUAUUAUGAAAAGGGAGCUGAUAUUUCAUUCCACAGUUAUACAUUUUCUUUAAAAAAUCCACUUUCGCACUGGAGUUGUUAAAUGAUCGCUGGAAAUAUCAUUCCAACAUUUAUAAAUGAAAUGGUACUUGCAUGCGUACCUGUCUGGCGCAAAAGUCCGGUAUCUGUCUCCUGCCUGCUUGAAGUUGUUCUCUUUGUCAAUUACAGACUGCAUUAACAACCAACAAGCUAUUAUCAUGUAUAUAUCUAGGUCAUCUAGCUAGCUAGCGUAAACAAAUUAUUGCAUAUUGCCUUCAUUUGUUAAAGAGAUAUCUAUCUAUUCUAUUACCAUUCAAACAAAAUUCUGUAUUUGAUUGAUCAACUCCACCUUUUUGGAAAUUAAAUUCUAUGCCAUUAAAGGAAUGCCAACAUAUAUUAUGAAAAACUCACCCUAGUUCGCCUUCCCAUCAACACGCGUGGAGGAAGGGGGUGCUUCUCAGCAUGGACCACAGGAUCAAACCUAGAAGGGAAGUAAUUGACCUGGAAGAGUGCACUUGUGUGAUUAAUAUAUAUGGAGAACACAAAAGCAUGCCUAAAGAAAUUAAUUAUCAAAAGUGGGCUAUUUAGAAAGCAAGAGAUCAUUAAGAAGCUUAAAAACUCUACUCUUUUUCACCUCCUCAUCCCUGUGCAAAAAAUUCAUUGAGCCUUCAUGGUGAUUGUUGUGAUGAGCGCACUUGGGAGCAUUAGCUGGAAGCAGCAAAUAGUUUGGUCCCAGACGGUGCCUCUGAGUAUCACCAUAAGCGAAUACCCGACCCUGGAGAAACUUAUCAUCCGAAUACCAGACACCAGGAACAACAUGAGCAGGGUUGAAAGCAAGCAUUUCAUUUUCUGCAAAAAAGUUAUCAAUAUUCCUAUUCAACACCAAGCGGCCCACUGGCUGCAGGGGAAAGAUGUCCUCAGGCCAGGUCUUGGUUACAUCGAGUGGGUCAAAGUCAAAUUUGUCCUCGUGAUCGGGGUCCAUAAUCUGGAUAAAAAGCUUCCACUCAGGAUAAUUGCCAGCUGCAAUUGAGUCAUAGAGAUCUUGGGUGGCAUGGCUGUGAUUAGAUCCUCCAAUUUUGAUGGCUUCUUCCUCCAACAAGUUUUUGACUCCGCAGGUAGGUCUCCAGUGAAACUUGACAUAGGUUGCUUUCCCAGCCUUGUUAAGAAGAGUGAAGGUGUGAACCCCGGAGCCAUCCAUGUGCCUGUAAUCUUGUGGAACACCUAUGUCAUCAUAGAAGAAUGUGAAGGUGUGCAAACUCUCUGGGUGGUGGGAUAAGUAGUCAAAGAUUCUCCAGUUCUCUUGAAUGUGAGACUUGGGAUUGGGUUUAAAAGCACGAAUCACGUCUGGGAAUUUCAUUGCAUCCCGGACAAAGAAGAUUGGGAAAUUGUUUCCCACCAGAUCAAAGUUACCCUGAGUCGGUACACACAAAAAAUGUCACAAAUUAAUAUUAUGAACACAAAUUAAAAAGUAAUCUACACACACACUAUAUAAGAUGCACAACUUCUUCAUCAAUUCAAAAAAAAAUGUAUGUAUUUUAAAAUGAAAUGGAGCUCCUAAUUAAUGUUUGCAAGAUGGUAGGGCUCCCUCAGAUGUUGCAACCCUGAAUUCCUCCAAAAGUUGGAUAAAUAAGAGUUGCGCGUGAAUAGAGCUAGCUUUAGAGAGCUUCAGUUUUGAAUUUUUAGGAUUUCAAAAUUUGACUUGAAAAAAUAAAAAUAUAUCUCGGAACGACUGGAGGGAGUAGGUCACAAAAGAGAGAAUUAUAUCAGUAUUCUCACCUCUCUGGUGUAGAACUUCACUGCAAAACCUCGAGGGUCCCUGAUGGUUUCAGGACUUCCACGCUCAUGGAUAACGGUGGAGAAGCGAACAAUAACAGGUGUCUGGACACCAGGGGCCCGCAGAAAGUCAGCGCAUGUAAGGUUAGUAAUAUCAUGGGUGACCUCAAAGAAACCUUUGGCACUGGCACCCCUUGCAUGGACAACUCUUUCAGGGAUCCUCUCCCUAGUAAAAGUAGCAAUUUUCUCCACCAACGGAUAAUCCUCAA
rnacentral:lncRNA from 1 species